GGGGUGAAAUCCCAGGGCUCAACCCUGGAACUGCCUCAUUAAUACUGCGUAAGUCUAUGAGUUNCGAGAGAGGUGAGUGGAUUCCGAGUGUAGAGGUGAAUUCGUAGAUAUUCGGAGGAACACCAGUGGCGAANGGCGGCUCACUGGCUCGAUACUGAC
rnacentral:rRNA from 1 species